rnacentral:rRNA from 1 species
AUUGAACGCUGGCGGCAGGCUUAACACAUGCAAGUCGAGCGAGCGGCGGACGGGUGAGUAAUGUCGGGGAAACUGCCUGAUGGAGGGGGAUAACUACUGGAAACGGUAGCUAAUACCGCAUACCAUCAGAUUUGCCCAGAUGGGAUUAGCUAGUAGGUGGGGUAAUGGCGCACCUAGGCGACGAUCCCUAGCUGGUCUGAGAGGAGGAGCACCCACACUGGAACGGAGACCCGGUCCAGACUCCUAGGGGAGGCAGCAGUGGGGAAUAUUGCACAAUGGGCGAAAGCCGGAUGCAGACAUGCGGGGUGUUUGAAGAAGGCCUUCGGGUUGUAAAGCACUUUCAGCGAGGAGGCGUUAAUCGCAGAAGAAGCACCGGCUAACUCCGUGCCAGCAGCCGCGGUAAUUC